UACGUAGGGGGCUAGCGUUGUCCGGAAUCAUUGGGCGUAAAGAGCGUGUAGGCGGCCCGGUAAGUCCGCUGUGAAAGUCGGGGGCUCAACCCUCGAAUGCCGGUGGAUACUGUCGGGCUAGAGUCCGGAAGAGGAGAGUGGAAUUCCUGGUGUAGCGGUGAAAUGCGCAGAUAUCAGGAAGAACACCUAUGGCGAAGGCAGCUCUCUGGGACGGUACUGACGCUGAGACGCGAAAGCGUGGGGAGCGAACAGG
rnacentral:rRNA from 1 species